rnacentral:rRNA from 1 species
UAGAGUUUGAUCCUGGCUCAGGACGAACGCUGGCGGCGUGCCUAAUACAUGCAAGUCGAACGCACUCUCGUUUAGAUUGAAGGAGCUUGCUCCUGAUUGAUAAACAUUUGAGUGAGUGGCGGAAGGUUGAGUCCACGUGCAGUACACGCUGUUCAGUAAAUGGCGGGAUAUCAGCUGGUUCACGAUAACUGUAUUCCCACACUAUUGGGACAGGUACCCUCGGGUUCUGCACGGUGCCGCAGCUCCAUCUACAAUAUUGUUUAUGCAACAGGAGGGCAAGCUCUCUUGCAAUGCUAAAGCGAAGAGGUGCGUUCCGAACUGCCAUGUUAGGACCCCGAC